rnacentral:rRNA from 1 species
AGUGAACGCUGGCGGCAGGCCUAACACAUGCAAGUCGAGCGGCAGCGGGUCCCCGCGAGGGGAUGCCGGCGAGCGGCGGACGGGUGAGGAACACAUCGGAAUCUGCCUGGUUGUGGGGGAUAACGUAGGGAAACUUACGCUAAUACCGCAUGCGACCCUGAGUCGACGGACUUGGGGUGAAAGUGAGGGACCUUCGGGCCUCACGCGACCAGAUGAGCCGAUGUCGGAUAGCUAGUUGGCGGGGUAACGGCCCGCCAAGGCGACGAUCCGUAGCUGGUCUGAGAGGAUGAUCAGCCACACUGGGACUGAGACACGGCCCAGACUCCUACGGGAGGCAGCAGUGGGAAUCUUGGACAAUGGGCGCAAGCCUGAUCCAGCCAUGCCGC